GAUGAAGCAAGAGGAAGAGGUCACUAUGCGCCAGUUCUGGUUGAGAUAUUUUGCCGCGACGGAAAAAACCGUCCUGGCUGGCUUGCCUGAGCGCACCGCAGCGCUUAAAAAUGCUCGCGGAACUGAUGCAGUGGGAGGCGACCGAUUGAAGCCAAUUGCAGACAUCAUGUGUGACUGAGUAUUGGUGUAGGCGAUAGCCUAAAAUCACCCGCCAGCAGAUAAUAUCUGCUGGCUUUUUUU
rnacentral:sRNA from 1 species